rnacentral:rRNA from 1 species
AUACGUAGGUGGCGAGCGUUAUCCGGAAUUACUGGGUGUAAAGGGUGUGUAGGCGGGGAUGCAAGUCAGAUGUGAAAUCCAUGGGCUCAACCUAUGGUGUGCAUUUGAUACUGGGUGUCUAGAGUGUGGAAGAGGUAAGUGGAAUUCCGAGUGUAGAGGUGAAAUUCGUAGAUAUUCGGAGGAACACCAGUGGCGAAGGCGGCUUACUGGUCCAUUACUGACGCUGAGGUGCGAAAGCGUGGGGAGC